UGGGGAAUAUUGGACAAUGGGCGGAAGCCUGACCCAGCAACGCCGCGUGGGUGACGAAGGCCUUCGGGUUGUAAAGCCCUUUUCUGGGGGAAGAUGAUGACGGUACCCCAGGAAGAAGCACCGGCUAACUACGUGCCAGCAGCCGCGGUAAUACGUAGGGUGCGAGCGUUGCCCGGAUUUAUUGGGCGUAAAGGGCGCGCAGGCGGCCGAGCGCGUCCGUUGUGAAAUCGCCUGGCUCAACUGGGCGGGGACAGCGGAUACGGCUGGGCUGGAGCAAGCUAGGGGGCAAUGGAAUUCCCGGUGUAGUGGUGGAAUGCGUAGAUAUCGGGAGGAACACCAGUGGCGAAGGCGGUUGCCUGGAGCUUUGCUGACGCUGAGGCGCGAAAGCGUGGGGAGCGAUCCG
rnacentral:rRNA from 1 species